CCUACGGGUGGCUGCAGUGGGGAAUAUUGGACAAUGGGGGGAACCCUGAUCCAGCCAUGCCGCGUGUGUGAAGAAGGCCCUCGGGUUGUAAAGCACUUUCAGUGAGGAAGAACGCCUGGUGGUUAAUACCCAUCAGGAAAGACAUCACUCACAGAAGAAGCACCGGCUAACUCCGUGCCAGCAGCCGCGGUAAUACGGAGGUUGCGAGCGUUAAUCGGAAUUACUGGGCGUAAAGCGCGCGUAGGUGGCUUGAUAAGCCGGUUGUGAAAGCCCCGGGCUCAACCUGGGAACGGCAGCCGGAACUGUCAAGCUAGAGUGCAGGAGAGGAAGGUAGAAUUCCCGGUGUAGCGGUGAAAUGCGUAGAGAUCGGGAGGAAUACCAGUGGCGAAGGCGGCCUUCUGGACUGACACUGACACUGAGGUGCGAAAGCGUGGGUAGCAAACAGGAUUAGAUACCCUGGUAGUC
rnacentral:rRNA from 1 species